rnacentral:rRNA from 1 species
UUAAGCGACUAAGCGUACACGGUGGAUGCCCUGGCAGUCAGAGGCGAUGAAGGACGUGCUAAUCUGCGAAAAGCGUCGGUAAGGUGAUAUGAACCGUUAUAACCGGCGAUGUCCGAAUGGGGAAACCCAGUGCAAUUCGUUGCACUAUCGUUAACUGAAUACAUAGGUUAACGAGGCGAACCGGGGGAACUGAAACAUCUAAGUACCCCGAGGAAAAGAAAUCAACCGAGAUUCCCCCAGUAGCGGCGAGCGAACGGGGAGCAGCCCAGAGUCUGAAUCAGCUUGUGUGUUAGUGGAACGGUCUGGAAAGUCCGACGGUACAGGGUGAUAGUCCCGUACACCAAAAUGCACAGGCUGUGAACUCGAAGAGUAGGGCGGGACACGUGGUAUCCUGUCUGAAUAUGGGGGGACCAUCCUCCAAGGCUAAAUACUCCUGACUGACCGAUAGUGAACCAGUACCGUGAGGGAAAGGCGAAAAGAACCCCGGCGAGGGGAGUGAAAAAGAACCUGAAACCGUGUACGUACAAGCAGUGGGAGCACCUUCGGGUGUGACUGCGUACCUUUUGUAUAAUGGGUCAGCGACUUAUAUUCUGUAGCAAGGUUAACCGUAUAGGGGAGCCGCAGGGAAACCGAGUCUUAACUGGGCGUUAAGUUGCAGGGUAUAGACCCGAAACCCGGUGAUCUAGCCAUGGGCAGGUUGAAGGUUGGGUAACACUAACUGGAGGACCGAACCGACUAAUGUUGAAAAAUUAGCGGAUGACUUGUGGCUGGGGGUGAAAGGCCAAUCAAACCGGGAGAUAGCUGGUUCUCCCCGAAAGCUAUUUAGGUAGCGCCUCGUGAAUUCAUCUUCGGGGGUAGAGCACUGUUUCGGCUAGGGGGUCAUCCCGACUUACCAACCCGAUGCAAACUACGAAUACCGAAGAAUGUUAUCACGGGAGACACACGGCGGGUGCUAACGUCCGUCGUGAAGAGGGAAACAACCCAGACCGCCAGCUAAGGUCCCAAAGUCAUGGUUAAGUGGGAAACGAUGUGGGAAGGCACAGACAGCCAGGAUGUUGGCUUAGAAGCAGCCAUCAUUUAAAGAAAGCGUAAUAGCUCACUGGUCGAGUCGGCCUGCGCGGAAGAUGUAACGGGGCUAAACCAUGCACCGAAGCUGCGGCAGCGACACUAUGUGUUGUUGGGUAGGGGAGCGUUCUGUAAGCCUGCGAAGGUGACCUGUGAGGGUUGCUGGAGGUAUCAGAAGUGCGAAUGCUGACAUAAGUAACGAUAAAGCGGGUGAAAAGCCCGCUCGCCGGAAGACCAAGGUUCCUGUCCAACGUUAAUCGGGGCAGGGUGAGUCGACCCCUAAGGCGAGGCCGAAAGGCGUAGUCGAUGGGAAACAGGUUAAUAUUCCUGUACUUGGUGUUACUGCGAAGGGGGGACGGAGAAGGCUAUGUUAGCCGGGCGACGGUUGUCCCGGUUUAAGCAUGUAGGCUGGUUAUCCAGGCAAAUCCGGAUAAUCAAGGCUGAGGUGUGAUGACGAGGCACUACGGUGCUGAAGUAACAAAUGCCCUGCUUCCAGGAAAAGCCUCUAAGCAUCAGGUAACAUCAAAUCGUACCCCAAACCGACACAGGUGGUCAGGUAGAGAAUACCAAGGCGCUUGAGAGAACUCGGGUGAAGGAACUAGGCAAAAUGGUGCCGUAACUUCGGGAGAAGGCACGCUGGUGUGUAGGUGAAGCCCCUGCGGGUGGAGCUGAGACCAGUCGAAGAUACCAGCUGGCUGCAACUGUUUAUUAAAAACACAGCACUGUGCAAACACGAAAGUGGACGUAUACGGUGUGACGCCUGCCCGGUGCCGGAAGGUUAAUUGAUGGGGUUAUCCGUAAGGAGAAGCUCUUGAUCGAAGCCCCGGUAAACGGCGGCCGUAACUAUAACGGUCCUAAGGUAGCGAAAUUCCUUGUCGGGUAAGUUCCGACCUGCACGAAUGGCGUAAUGAUGGCCAGGCUGUCUCCACCCGAGACUCAGUGAAAUUGAACUCGCUGUGAAGAUGCAGUGUACCCGCGGCAAGACGGAAAGACCCCGUGAACCUUUACUAUAGCUUGACACUGAACAUUGAGCCUUGAUGUGUAGGAUAGGUGGGAGGCUUUGAAGCGUGGACGCCAGUCUGCGUGGAGCCAACCUUGAAAUACCACCCUUUAAUGUUUGAUGUUCUAACGUUGGCCCCUGACCGGGGGUUGCGGACAGUGUCUGGUGGGUAGUUUGACUGGGGCGGUCUCCUCCCAAAGCGUAACGGAGGAGCACGAAGGUUAGCUAAUCCUGGUCGGACAUCAGGAGGUUAGUGCAAUGGCAUAAGCUAGCUUGACUGCGAGCGUGACGGCGCGAGCAGGUGCGAAAGCAGGUCAUAGUGAUCCGGUGGUUCUGAAUGGAAGGGCCAUCGCUCAACGGAUAAAAGGUACUCCGGGGAUAACAGGCUGAUACCGCCCAAGAGUUCAUAUCGACGGCGGUGUUUGGCACCUCGAUGUCGGCUCAUCACAUCCUGGGGCUGAAGUAGGUCCCAAGGGUAUGGCUGUUCGCCAUUUAAAGUGGUACGCGAGCUGGGUUUAGAACGUCGUGAGACAGUUCGGUCCCUAUCUGCCGUGGGCGCUGGAGAAUUGAGGGGGCUGCUCCUAGUACGAGAGGACCGGAGUGGACGCAUCACUGGUGUUCGGGUUGUCAUGCCAAUGGCACUGCCCGGUAGCUAAAUGCGGAAGAGAUAAGUGCUGAAAGCAUCUAAGCACGAAACUUGCCCCGAGAUGAGUUCUCCCUGAGACUUUAAGUCUCCUGAAGGAACGUUGAAGACGAUGACGUUGAUAGGCCGGGUGUGUAAGCGCAGCGAUGCGUUGAGCUAACCGGUACUAAUGAACCGUGAGGCUUAACCUU